CCUACGGGGGGCAGCAGUGGGGAAUUUUGCGCAAUGGGCGAAAGCCUGACGCAGCAACGCCGCGUGGGUGAUGAAGGUCUUCGGAUCGUAAAACCCUGUCGUCGGGGACGAAGGUUGUAUGCCUAACAGGUGUGCAAUUUGACGGUACCCGGAGAGGAAGCCCCGGCUAACUCUGUGCCAGCAGCCGCGGUAAUACAGAGGGGGCUAGCGUUAUUCGGAGUUAUUGGGCGUGAAGGGCUCAUACGGGUGUGUAAUCCCCGAGCUCAACUUGGGAACUGCAUCUGAGACUGGAAGGCUAGAGUACUGGAGAGGGUGGUAGAAUUCCACGUGUAGCGGUGAAAUGCGUAGAGAUGUGGAGGAAUACCAGUGGCGAAGGCGGCCACCUGGACAGUAACUGACGCUGAGGCGCGAAAGUGUGGGGAGCAAACAGGAUUAGAUACCCCUGUAGUC
rnacentral:rRNA from 1 species